AGGUCUAACCAGCCCACUGAAUAUAUUAAAUGGCCGCAGUACCCUAACUGUGCAAAGGUAGCAUAAUCAUUAGUCUUUUAAUUGAAGGCUGGUAUGAAUGGUUGGACGAGAUACUAACUGUUUCAUUUAUAUUUAUUAUAGAAUUUUAUUUUUUAGUCAAAAAGCUAAAAUGUAAUUAAAAGACGAGAAGACCCUAUAAAUCUUUAUAUUUCAAGGGGGUUUAAGUAAUUUAAGUUAAUUAAUCCAAUAAACCAAAAAAUAUUUUAUUGGGGUGAUAUUAAAAUUUAAUAAACUUUUAAUUUUUUAAAACAUUAAUUUAUGGAUAAUUGAUCCGUUUUUAGCGAUUAUAAAUUUAAGUUACUUUAGGGAUAACAGCGUAAUUUUCUUGGAGAGUUCAUAUCGAUAAGAAAGAUUGCGACCUCGAUGUUGGAUUAAGAUUCAGAUUUGGGCGUAGCAGUUCAAAUUUUAAGUCUGUUCGACUUUU
rnacentral:rRNA from 1 species